rnacentral:rRNA from 1 species
UACGGAAGGUCCAGGCGUUAUCCGGAUUUAUUGGGUUUAAAGGGAGCGUAGGCCGUCUGGUAAGCGUGUUGUGAAAUGUCGGGGCUCAACCUGGGCAUUGCAGCGCGAACUGUCAGACUUGAGUGCGCGGGAAGUAGGCGGAAUUCGUCGUGUAGCGGUGAAAUGCUUAGAUAUGACGAAGAACUCCGAUUGCGAAGGCAGCCUGCUGUAGCGCAACUGACGCUGAAGCUCGAAAGCGUGGGUAUCGAACAGG